GACGAACGCUGGCGGCGUGCUUAACACAUGCAAGUCGAACGGUAAGGCCCUUCGGGGUACACGAGUGGCGAACGGGUGAGUAACACGUGGGUGAUCUGCCCUGCACUUUGGGAUAAGCCUGGGAAACUGGGUCUAAUACCGGAUAGGACCACGGCCUGCAUGGGUUGUGGUGGAAAGCUUUUGCGGUGUGGGAUGGGCCCGCGGCCUAUCAGCUUGUUGGUGGGGUGAUGGCCUACCAAGGCGGCGACGGGUAGCCGGCCUGAGAGAGUGUCCGGCGACACUGGGACUGAGAUACGGCCCAGACUCCUACGGGAGGCAGCAGUGGGGAAUAUUGCACAAUGGGCGCAAGCCUGAUGCAGCGACGCCGCGUGGGGGAUGACGGCCUUCGGGUUGUAAACCUCUUUCACCAGGGACGAAGCGCAAGUGACGGUACCUGGAGAAGAAGCACCGGCCAACUACGUGCCAGCCGCCGCGGUAA
rnacentral:rRNA from 1 species